UGAGCAACCUGCCCCUGGCUCUGGGAUAACUCCGGGAAACCGGAGCUAAUACCGGAUACGAGACCGAUUGGCAUCUUUACGGUCUGGAAAGUUUUUCGGUCAGGGAUGGGCUCGCGGCCUAUCAGCUUGUUGGUGGGGUAACGGCCCACCAAGGCGACGACGGGUAGCCGGCCUGAGAGGGCGACCGGCCACACUGGGACUGAGACACGGCCCAGACUCCUACGGGAGGCA
rnacentral:rRNA from 1 species